AUUGAACGCUAGCGGGAUGCCUUACACAUGCAAGUCGAACGGCGUGGCGAACGGGUGAGUAAUGUAUAGGAACGUGCCCAGUAGCGGGGGAUAACUACGCGAAAGCGUAGCUAAUACCGCAUACUAUUGGAGCGGCCGAUAUCGGCUUAGCUAGUUGUUGGGGGAACGGCUCACCAAGGCGACGAUCCGUAGCUGGUUUGAGUGGACGACCAGCCCAACUGGGACUGAGACACGGCCCAGACUCCUACGGGAGGCAGCAGUGGGGAAUUUUCGACAAUGGGGGAAAGCCUGAUUCAGCCAUCCCGCGUGUGCGAAGAAGGCCUUCGGGUUGUAAAGCACUGUUGGCAGGAAAGCGGUACCUACAGAAUAAGCACCGGCUAACUACGUGCCAGCAGCCGCGGUAAUUC
rnacentral:rRNA from 1 species